ensembl:snRNA U2 U2 spliceosomal RNA
AUGACUUAUCAGCCUUUAGGCUAAGAUCAAGUGUAGCAUCAGUUAUUAUCAGUUUAAUAUAGCUGAGGAUGUUAGAAGUAAACAUGACAAUCCAUAUAUAAUGAUCCCAAGUCUUAGGACAAUGUAUUUUCCCUGAUUUUGUCUGCUAUAACUCUACACUUGUACUCGACGAUUUUGUAAGGUCCUU